UGCGGCGCGACGGGCGGCCGCGUCCCCGGGAGCCGGACUGGGUUCAACGAGCCCAAGCGGUUCCGACUAACGGGGCGAGGAAAGUCCGAACUCCGCAGGGCAGGACGCCGGGUAACCCCCGGGACGCGACAAGCGUACGGAAAGUGCCACAGAGAGGGGAUCCACCAGGAUCCCGCAGACCGCCCAAGUCCGCCUCGGCGGACCGGCAAGGGUGAAAAGGUGGGGUAAGAGCCCACCAGUGGCGCCGGCGACGGCGUCGGCUCGGUAAACCCCGUCCGGAGCAAGACCAAAUAGGAGACGAUGGGUGGCCCGCCCCAGGCGUCUCGGGUAGGUCGCUGGAGCCGCGGGAGCGAUCCCCGGCGUAAGAUGGAUGGUCGCCGUCCCGUCGGAGGGGAAACCCGACCGCACGACGGGAGACAGAAUUCGGCUUACAGUCGCGCCCACGUA
rnacentral:RNase_P_RNA from 1 species